rnacentral:rRNA from 1 species
AACGAACGCUGGCGGCAUGCCUAACACAUGCAAGUCGAACGAGACCUUCGGGUCUAGUGGCGCACGGGUGCGUAACGCGUGGGAACCUGCCCUUAGGUUCGGAAUAACUCCCCGAAAGGGGUGCUAAUACCGGAUAAUGUCUUCGGACCAAAGAUUUAUCGCCUUUGGAUGGGCCCGCGUUGGAUUAGCUAGUUGGUAGGGUAAAAGCCUACCAAGGCGACGAUCCAUAGCUGGUCUGAGAGGAUGAUCAGCCACACUGGGACUGAGACACGGCCCAGACUCCUACGGGAGGCAGCAGUGGGGAAUAUUGGACAAUGGGCGAAAGCCUGAUCCAGCAAUGCCGCGUGAGUGAUGAAGGCCUUAGGGUUGUAAAGCUCUUUUACCCGGGAUGAUAAUGACAGUACCGAGAAUAAGCUCCGGCUAACUCCGUG